rnacentral:rRNA from 1 species
AACGAACGCUGGCGGCAUGCCUAACACAUGCAAGUCGAACGAGACCUUCGGGUCUAUUGGCGCACGGGUGCGUGCCGCGGGGGAACCUGCCCUUAGGUUCGGUAUAACUCCCCGAAAGGGGUCCUAAUACCGGUUAAUCUCUUCGGACCAAAGAUUUAUCGCCUUUGGAUGGGCGCGCGUUAGUUUAGCUAGUUGGUAGUGUAAAAGCAUGCCAAGGCGAGGAUCCAGAGCUGGUCGGAGAGCAUGACCAGCCACGCUGGGAAUGAGACACGGCCCAGAAUGCUACGGGAGGCAGCAGAAUGGAAUAUUGUGGGAGGGGCGAUAGCCUGAUAACGCAAUGCCGCGUAUGUGAUGAAGGCGGUAGGGUUGUAAAGCUGUUUUAGCCGAGGUGAUAAUGACAGUACCGGGUGAAUAAGCACCGGCUAACUACGUG